rnacentral:tRNA from 1 species
GAGGGUAUAGCCCAGUGGUAGAGUGUGUGCUUAGCAAGCACAAGGUCCUGGGUUCAAUCCCCAGUACCUCCA